UACGUAGGGGGCAAGCGUUGUCCGGAUUUAUUGGGCGUAAAGAGCGUGUAGGCGGCCUUCAGGUCAGCUGUGAAAACUCGAGGCUCAACCUCGAGACGUCGGUUGAAACCGUAAGGCUAGAGUACGGAAGAGGAGAUUGGAAUUCCUGGUGUAGCGGUGAAAUGCGCAGAUAUCAGGAGGAACACCAACAGCGAAGGCAGAUCUCUGGGACGUUACUGACGCUGGAGAACGCGAAAGCGUGGGGAGCGAACAGG
rnacentral:rRNA from 1 species